AAUAUCUUCACUCCUGCCAGAAUGAUAACAGUACCAGACUAGCAAUGGUCUCCCAGGAAGAGAUUUCAUGGCCCUGAGCGCAUGUCAGAAGCUUGCAGGAGAAAAUGGAGGAACCUAGACAGUGCUGGCUUGUUGGAGUUGGAAGUUUGAAUUGUUGGAACCUGGCAAGAAGAAUUCUCAGGAUGUGAAGGACUCAUACCAACCUGCCGAGAGGAGAGAUGCCUUCCCCCGCAGAAUUAGCCAGACGCUUCAAAAGUCUGCUUAUUAUCUGGACUCAAGAUGAGCAAAGGUCACAUGGUUCUUUUUUGUUGAGCUGGAGACAGAGGUUCGUGGACUCCAGCCAAGCGCUCUGCCUCUGGGCUGUCUCUAGCACUCUGUAUGACUGGGACUCAAGAUCAUCUGACCUUGAACUCAUCCUACAGUCCAGGCAAACCUUGAAUUUGUGAUCCUCUUGCCUCAAACUGGGAUAAAGGCUGUGCCACCUCGUUCAGCUUGAGGACUCUUUCCAAGUUACAGCUUUCUCCUGCCGGAGCUCAAAAUAUGGGACCCAGAGGUUGCAAACCGUAGGCCAGUGUUCCAUCACUGAGUGAACCCUACCUCUGUCCCAGCUGCCAGGGUUCUGAUCAUUGCUGCAAGUCCUUCUAAGUCUGGAACAGUGAUGAGUCGUCUCAUCGAAUCAUGUGGCCUGUAUCAAUAAUAUAUAUGCUCAAUAAUAUAUAUACUCUGACACU
ensembl:lincRNA 4930479D17Rik RIKEN cDNA 4930479D17 gene